GGAGCGCGGCUGGAGCUACUUCAGCCCUCCCUCUCUCAUCCCUCCCGGAUCCGCCGCCGCCCCCUCCCACCGCCUCCGUACGCACGCCCCCGCCAGGGCCCGCGCCGCUUCCCCGAAGGCUCCCAGAACACGGCCAAUGGGGAGAUCAACCGUGGACCUGGAUUAGAUGGUGAGGCACCUACUCGAUACCCCUAAUCUCCGACGGGGCUCGGAAGAGAAGAAAGGCUACAAGACAAGCUCAAAUCGCUUGGUCGCACUGAAUGCUCGCCAGGUUCAGGUUCUGCGCGCUUGCAGCCCUUUUCUCCCCAAAUCGUCAACGUCGGUGUGCCCAGCGUGCAGCUCGCCAAGAUUCAGAAAAGGGGUAGCUAAGCCGCUCCACGGUUCAUAGACGUCUGUUUGGGGUUGAAAGCCACGGAACACCCUGGGUCUGGGAACUCCCACGCCCUGGGUCCCCGCCCUCUUGCAUUCCCCUUCUCCCAAUUCCUGGGGUUCGUGGACCUAGCGAUACCAUCUCCCGCCCCAGAAGAAGAGCCUCCCUAUGCACUCGUCAGGACUGGUGCCUUCUAGCAUCUGCGAAUCGAACCCUUCCUGCCACCAAAGCCAGCCUAGUUCCGGGCAGGUGGCGCCCCAGAAGCUGGCUCUAAAGGGGCCCCGGCGGGAGCUCCUUCCCUUAGAGUGAGAAUGCGCUCUGGGCGUGUCCGUGUGUCCCUUUGUAUGUCUAUGUGUGUUGGGCUUCGUUCCACAUGAACUCCGCCUAGCCUAUUCCUCGCGCUCCGGGACUUCGGGGGAGGUGCCCCAGAGGUGGGCAGCGACUUCUUCGCAUCUCUGAUCGUUUUCUUAUAGACACUAGACACCCGGACCAAGCCACCCGCACACCCACGCCUCUUUUUUUUUUUUUUUUUUUUCUUUUGGAUAGCGGCACUGCCUGGCCGGGAUUCCAGUCCAGGUUCCAAUGCCUCUGGGGACUAUGGACAAGGGUCUGGGCUGCAUCGUGUGCCCCAAGUCAGAACCAGAACUGGGCCUGGGAACUCAUUCCAAGCUCCAAUUAUGUAGAAAGGGAAACUAAGGCAGGGAGAACCCAAAUCGGGUUUUAAAAGACUGAAAGAGCCCCAGCUACCAGCUGGCCUAGUUGGCCCCGCAGACCGCGCCCCCCCCCCACCAUCUUUUCCAAUCAAGCCGUCGACUGGUUGCCCCACAGCCUUUUACAGGGCGCUGAGCCAGACAAGGUCCCGCCCGUGAGUCCGGGAUCCACAGGCAGCCCUCGGACAGAAGAUCCCAGGUGUGGGCAGUGGGCAUCGCCGGCGGUGAGAGUAGAAGCCAGAUUGACAGAGAAGCCAUUAUCCAGGUCUUCUCUGACGCCUCCUCCAAGCCCCAAGCCCCAGGGGCGCCCCACGGCCUACGUUCCACAUCUCCGCAUUUAACCAUCCGGAGUCCGGGCUGCGAGCCUCAGUGGCCCCUGCACGCCCGAUGCAUCAUUGCUAGACCGCCGCUUCCGGGCGCCAGAGGGACCCCUCGGCCCGCACGCGGCCGUCCUGGGCUCGGUGCAGGGAGAGAGUGCGGGACUCCUGCUCCAACGUGUCCACUGCCCUGUACCGAGCACAGGAAUCCGCAGCGCCUCGCGCCCGGGCGCCCCCUAAAUCCCCCACUUGGGACCCAGGAUUAGCCUCGUGCCUCUCUGGGCGGGAUGUGCAACGGAGCCACACUAGCUGAGGCGGAACUCCGGAGGAUUAACCGGGGGCGCUGCGCUGCUUGGAGAUUAGCCCCCAACUCCCAACUCAGUGCGGAGGGACGCGGGGACCCCGCGCAAGCCUAGCGCUUCGGCCCGGCGGCGCCUCCCCCACGCGUCUGACACGAAGCAGUUCCCGACCCGGCCCUGCGGCGAGGCUAUCCCCGCUCAGAGUGCGUGGGCGCGGGAGACUAGCCUGGUCCUUCCCCUGCAGAGAACUUGAGUUUGGUUCCAAGCACAGAAGGCAAAUGGCUCACAGCUGCGUGGAACUCCAGUCCCAGAAGAUCCGUGGUCUCUGACCCCCAUGGGCACCUGUAGCCGUAUGCGUAUAGGAACACACACACACUGAAAUCUGUGGCCUCUUGUCAUGCUGCGACAUGGUGAGACACAAAUCCCCGGCCCAUUGUGCCCCUUCUUACCACGGAGAGUCCCCAAGUGCUGCCCACCAGGCGAACACCGCAUGGCGCUGCUCAUACUCCCUGUGCAGGGAGAACCUGCUACUGCCGCCACUGCCGCCCCUUACCUCAAGGAGGAAGUAGGCUAAACCAGAGGGGACUGCAGCGUGCGAAGACCUGCAAGGGCGGAGGAGGCCCUUCCUGGAGCCCCCAUCAUCUCCCCAGGCUGUGGCCUCCUCCUGAAAAGGCAACUUGGAGCUCCCAACUUCUCUGCACAGCCACACACCUUCCUGCAAGUGUUCUGGGGGGACAGGGUGUCCACACCUGUGACAGGCUUGGAGGACCAGGACCCUCCAUAGGAGUGAGCUCCAGUUGCCCCAGGGUGUCCAUGAGCCUGCAUACCCUGACAUCCCCCUCCAUUCCUGCUCUCUCACCCCUCACUCACUGCCUGUACUCUUCAGCCGCCACCCUCAGCAGCCACCAGCGCCACCAGCGUCAGACUCAGCCCUGGGAGAGCCAGCCACAGAGGGGACACCUGGGGAAGAUGCAGCAGCUCUUGAUCCAGGCUCCAUUCCUGCAAACAACACUUAAGCCUGUUCUGAAGUCGGAGGGAGAACUGUUCAGGCACCCACAAAGGCCUUGCAUUUGGGAAUAGCCAGAGUGGGCGAGCAGGUGCUGAGAAAUCAGACUCAGUGGUCAGCAGAGCUGCACUGUAGAUCACGUGACAACUUUCAGCCCGUGCAAGGACCCCGGGGAGCCCCAGGAAGACCUGGAAUGACUUCUGUUGGCACUAGGCAGGGAACCCAACUGGGUGGGACAAUGGUCAGGAAUCCAGAUGGGGUGGGGAAGGUACCCCAAAUGAUGCCAUCUGGGGAGCCAGGGCCUCAUUCCGUGUGGAUUACAAGGCUGAUCAACACUUAGCCCUUGGCUCUGCCGAUUGGCUGAGAAGCCCCACUGUCUCUCCAUCAGUCUCUGGCCAAGCCACAACUCCUGAAUCCAUGUACUUGUCCUUUCAAUUUUUUUUAAAGAAUUUUUUAUUGGUUUUAUUGAACUAUAUAUUUUUCUCUGCUCCCCUC